rnacentral:lncRNA from 1 species
CCAAGGGGGAGUGCUGUAAAUCAAAGUCUUCAAACAGUGUAUGAAAAUGAGACUUUGAAUGUGGCCAAAUUAAUGAAGGAGGGAGAUGAAUUUCAAAGGUUUCAAAUCCUGUAGAGAGUUUGUAUUCACUCACAAUGUCCCUCUAUAAAUAGGGAGGGACUUUCAUUCUUGUACAUGACUAACCUGAAAGUGAAACACAGAGUAGAACUCCUCUUUCUCCUAUUUUCUGUGUGCUGAAUCCCUGUGUUUGUGAGUGCAAUUGAGAGCAUCCAGUAAACGAUUUCUAACAGUCACCAGAGCGAGGCAGAGUCACAAGGGUGGAGUGCAGUAGCCACACUAUGGUCGAGCGGAGUCGCUAGGGUCCUGGUGUAGCGGAGUCAUCGGCGGCGUGGUGGGCGCUGCAAGAAACAGAAAAUGGUUCAACGAAAGAGAGGAUACAUAGAGAAAUAGAGACAGGAAAAAGAUAAAUAAUGAAAGAAAAAAGAGAGAGAUUUUAGGAACAUUUUACCCUUCUUAUCUACUAUCUACCAUGAUGCGUUAUUUAGUCAAAUAAUUUAUUAAAAUAGUCUCAGCAUAAAAAGCUAAAAGCUACUCGUGAAGCCAAAACAAAAAAAAAACCUACUUCACCAAAAAAGCACACUAUACGAAAUGAGACCUUGACAUCUCCAUUGCCCUUAGUUUAAGACCCUGUUUAGCUUUUGAGAUGGUGAAAAUUGGCUUAUGAAAUUGGUGGUUAGUAUUUGGGUACCAUCACAGCUUUAAGCUUACAGAAACUAGAUCGUGGAAUC